rnacentral:tRNA from 1 species
ACCAGGAUGGCCGAGUGGUUAAGGCGUUGGACUUAAGAUCCAAUGGAUGUAAAUUCACGUGGGUUCGAACCCCACUCCUGGUA